rnacentral:rRNA from 1 species
UGGGGAAUUGUUCGCAAUGGACGAAAGUCUGACGCAGCAACGCCGCGUGAGGGAUGACGGCCUUCGGGUUGUAAACCUCUUUUGUCAGGGAAGAUAAUGACGGUACCUGGCGAAUAAGUCACGGCUAACUACGUGCCAGCAGCCGCGGUAAUACGUAGGUGACAAGCGUUGUCCGGAUUUACUGGGCGUAAAGAGCGCGCAGGCGGUCGAUCAAGUCGAGUGUGAAAGCCCCCGGCUCAACUGGGGAGGGUCAUUCGAUACUGAUCGACUCGAAGACAGGAGAGGGAAGUGGAAUUCCCGGUGUAGUGGUGAAAUGCGUAGAUAUCGGGAGGAACACCAGUGGCGAAGGCGACUUCCUGGCCUGUUCUUGACGCUGAGGCGCGAAAGCUAGGGGAGCAAACGG